rnacentral:rRNA from 2 species
CGGAGGAUAAGAAACUAAAAAGGAUUCCCUCAGUAGCGGCGAGCGAAGCGGGAAAAGCUCAACAUGAAAACCGGUAGGGGUACACCCCCCCCUGACCGGGUUGUAGGGUAAAGUGGUGUCGUCAGUGUCGAGUCGGAUAUAAAUCCCGUUUGGAAUGGGGUGUCAUAGAGGGUGAUAACCCCGUCUUUGAUCCGACAUGCCGAUGCGUUACGAUGACCUUACAAAGAGUCGGGUUGCUUGGGCAUGCAGCCCAAAGUGGGUGGUAAACUCCAUCUAAAGCUAAAUAUCAGCGAGAGACCGAUAGUGUACAAGUACCGUAAGGGAAAGAUGCAAAGAACUUUGAAAAGAGAGUCAAACAGGGCUUGAAACCGUUAAGAGAGAAGCGAAGGAGGCCAGUGAUCAUGGGGCCAGAUCCCCAAGUGCCCGUACAGGGGCGCCGUAACGUUCUGGUUUUUCCCGGGGCAGCGCCGACCGGCGGGCUCGUGACAAAGGGGAGGGGGUUGAGGGAUUUGUUUCCCGCCUCUUGCUCCUCUAUGGCUUUGCCUCUGGUCGAGGGCGUUUACACCUUCCACUUUAUUGUGUGAGGGCGCUGUCAAAAUGGCCUUUUCCAUCCCGUCUUGAAACACGGACCAAGGAGUCUAACAUACUCGCAAGUGUUUGGGUGUUUAAAACCUCUGCGCACAAUGAAAGUAAAUCGGUAGCUCUGCGUUACUGUACGGUGGGAACCCUAACGUAUGUAUACAUGGGGGCACCAUCACCCGGUCCCGAUCCCCUCGGGGUGGUUGGUUUCGUGGCAGAGCGAGUAUGCUGGGACCCGAAAGAUGGUGAACUAUUCCUGAAUAGGGCAAAGCCAGAGGAAACUCUGGUGGAGGCUCGUAGCGAUGCUGACGUGCAAAUCGCUCGUCGAAUUUGGGUAUAGGGGCGAAAGACUAAUCGAACCAUCUAGUAGCUA